rnacentral:lncRNA from 1 species
CAUCCUCCUCCUUCUCUAGCAGACAUCGCUAGCCCUACUCCUCCUCCUCCCUUCUCCUCCUCCUUCAUUCCUCCUCCUUCUCUUCCUCCUCCUUCUCUUCUACAAGACAUCGCUGGCCCUCCUCCUCCUCCUCAUCUUCCUCUUCCAGACAUCGCUGGCCCUCCACCUCCUCCUCCUCCUCCUCCACCACCACCGCCAGACAUUGCUGGCCCUCCUCCUCCUUCUCCUCUUCUACCAUACUUUUCUGGCCCUACUCCUCCUCCACCAGACAUCUCUGGCCCCCCCUCCUCCUCCUCUUCCUCCUUCUCCUCCUCUUCCUCCUCCUUCUCUACCAGACAUCACUGGCCCUACUCCUCCAGCUCCUCCUCCUCCUCCUCUACCAGACAUUCAGUGCACUCAUCCUCCCCUAAAAGACAUUGCUGGCCUUACUCCUCCUCCUCUGCCAGAUAUUGCUGGCCCUCCCCCUCUUCUUUGUCCUCCCCCCCUCAAUCAUCGCCUUCCAGACAUCAUUGGCCCUCUUUCUCCUCAUCCUACUCCUCUAAGAGGCAUUGCUGAUGCUCCUCCUCCUCUACCGGACAUCACUGGCCCUUCUCCUCCCUCUGCUCCCUCCUCCUCCUCCCCGAUACAUUUCUGGGCCUCCUCCUCCUCUACCAGACAUCGCUUGCCCUCUUCCUCCUCCUCCUCCGACAGACAUCACUGGCCCUCAUCCUUCUCCUCCUUCUCUACCAGACAUCGCUGGCCCUCCUCCUCCUCCUCCUCUACCAAACACUGUGGGCCUUCCUCCUACUCUUCAUCCUAAUCCUCCUCCUUCUCUAUCAGACAUUACUAGCCCUCCUCCUCCUUCUCCUCUUUCUUCUCUUCCUCCUCCUCCUUCCCUUCCUCCUCCUCUUCUACCAGACAUCGAUGACCCUCCUCCUCCUCCUCAACCUCCUCCUGUACCAGACAUUGCUGGCAGUAUUUCUCCUACUACUACUCUUAUUCCAGACAUCCAUGCCUCUCCUCCUCUGCCUCCUUCUCCUCCUCUUCCUCCUCCUUCUCUACCAGAUAUCACUGGCCCUCCUUCUACUCCUCCUACUCCUACUCUACCAGAUAUUGAGGGCCCUCAUCCUCCUCCUCCUGUACCAGACAUUGCUGGCCCUCCUGCUCCUAAGCCUCCUCCUCCUCAAGACAUUGCUGGCCUUCCUGCUCCUCCUCCUCCUCCUCCUCAUCAUCAUCCUCCUUGUCCUCUACCAGACACCGCUGGCCUUCCUCCUCCUCCUCCUCAUUCUCCUCCUUCUCUACCAGACAUCACAAGAGCUUCUCCUCAUCCUCCUUCUCCUCUAGCAGACAUUGCUGGCCUUCCUCCUCCACCUGAACCAGACAUCACUGGCCUUCCUCCUCCUCCUCCUCAUCCUUCUCUUCCAGACAUCACUGGCCCUCCUCCUCCUCCUCCCCGUCCUCCUCCUCCUCUACCAGACAUUGAGAGCCCUCAUCCUCUUCCUCCUCUACCAGAUAUUGCUGGCCUUCCUGCUCCUCCUCCUCCUCUUCAUCAUCAUCAUCCUGCUCCUCCUUCUCUACCAGACAUCGCUGGCCUUCCUCUUCCUCCUCCUUCUCAUCCUCCUCCUCUACCAGACAUCACUGGCCCUGCUCCUCAUCCUCCUCCUUCUCUACCAGACAUUGCUGGCUUUCCUCCUCCUCCUUCUCUAUGACACAUUGCUGGCCUUCCUCUUCCUCCUCUUCUACCAGACAUCACUGGCCUUCCUACCCCUCCUCCUCCUCUUCCUCCUC